UCCCGCAUCAGUCCAUUAAACUAUGGGAACCGCUGUAUGAUAUCUUGCCCGUCGGAGCUCAUACAGUUAAAGCAAAUGACACGGCUACGCAUGUAGACCUGAAGGCAGAGGAUCUGCGGACGCGGGUUCGAUUCCCGCCGCCUCCACCA
rnacentral:tmRNA from 1 species